AGUGAUCCUACGGGAGGCAGCAGUGGGGAAUAUUGCACAAUGGGCGAAAGCCUGAUGCAGCAACGCCGCGUGAGCGAUGAAGGCCUUCGGGUCGUAAAGCUCUGUCCUAAGGGAAGAUAAUGACGGUACCUUAGGAGGAAGCCCCGGCUAACUACGUG
rnacentral:rRNA from 1 species